AUGGGUUUCCGCGAUAUCGAGCUCUUUAACCUGGCUUUACUGGCCAGGCAGGCCUGGCGCCUCCUACAGGAACCCACCUCUUUGAGUGCGCGGAUCCUAAAGGCUGUUUACUACCCUUCUUCCACCAUUCUUGACGCAGAAGUGGGCAAACAUCCUUCACAAGUUUGGCGCUCCAUAAUUGAAGGCAGAGACACUUUAAAGCUUGGACUUGUGAAACGGAUUGGUUCGGGAGAGGACACAAACAUAUGGAAUGACAAUUGA
rnacentral:rRNA from 1 species